AACAUGGCGGCGACCAAGGGAGAAUAAGAGUAGCGCAUGAACGAUCAUAAUUUGUAUUUUAAAGCGUUGAGUGACUACAAAGCAUUAAUCUAAAAAAAAAAAAUCAGAGAUUUAAUAUGUACCCCGUUUCGAGAUAAAUCCACAGCUGGGAUCUUAGCCCAGAGGUUAGUAGUGGGGAUCUAUUUCAAACUGAGCACAGCCACUAUGAAGUCCGAUGUAGAGGAACUCAUGCCCAGGCUCCUGCCUGUGUCAGAAUACGAUACUGAAGACAUUGAUCCCAACGUACCUCCAACAAACCCCCAGGAGUAUCUGCGACAGGUUCAGCUGGAGGCUGCGAUGUGUCCUGAUGUCGUUGUUGCCCAAAUUGACCCAAAUAAGCUGAAAAAGAAACAGACUGUGAAUAUUUCGCUUUCUGGAUGCCAGCCUGCCCCUGAAGGACUUGCCCCAAGUCUCAGAUGGCAGCAACAGCAAGUUGGCAGUUUUUCAGAGGUCAGACAGAGGGUAAACAAACAUCGGCAGCACUGGAAGGAGCAAUCUCUGGAUGACAAUGUGAUCAUGCCCAAAGCAGGCGAUGAAGAAGGGUGGAAGAAGUUCUGCUUGGGCGAGAACGUGUACUUUGAAAGGCCACGCACACAGGACCCCAUCGAGAGCGACAGCCCCAGUAUUGAUUACGUCAAGGUGGGGUUCCCUCCUCUGCUCAGCAUCGUCAGCAGAUUUAGCCAAGUAUUAGUUACUACUGUUCUGGAGUAUUUGAUCAACUGGUUUGUUGAGAGAGAGUUCUGCCCAGAACUGGGAAGAUGGCUUUAUGCAUUGCUGGCCUGUAUUGAAAAACCUCUGAUUCCUGAAGCGCAUUCCCUCCUCCGACAGCUGGCAAGGCAGUGCUCCGAAGUCCGUGCCAGAAUUGAAAGUCAAGAAGAUGAAAAUCUGUGGGCUCUGAACUUAUUGAUUUGUCUGGUUGCCAGAUAUUUUGAACAGAUCGACCUCGCGGAUAAAGACUGACGUUUCUGCUGAAGACUACGUUUACUGUGCGAUCAUGUAAGCUAUUCGGCAGUAGAUUUUUAAAAUGUCAGGUCAGUUAAAUCUGCUGCAGGUCCCCAGAACCAAACUGCAUCGUGUGGGUGACUGUGCUUCUCUGUCUCUGCUCCUCACUUGUGGAACAGCUUCCCUGAUCAUCUCAGACAGUUUCAACUGAGAAAGCUUCUCUACCAGCAAGCUUAUCAACUUCCAGUACUAUAAACUCUCUGAUUUUCCUGUCUU